GGGGCUCCCAGCCAGGGUAAGGAUCUUUCUUGGAGGGUCUGGGGUUUGGUGUGGGAUCAGAUGACUGCUUACAGGUAAGGUGCUCAGGGUCAUGGGGCAGUUACGCAGCAAAAUCAGGGGUUACAAUCAGCAGAGACAGAAACUUUCCCAGGAAGCUCCCUUUUUUCCCCCUCCCAGGCCAAAAACUCCUGGGGGGGCUGAGCCAAGUCACUGGUGGGCCCACCUCUGGCCCAGCUGGCACCCAGGCCUCAGGUAAGUGUGCCCUCCCCACCCAGAAUAUCACCAAGGAGCAGGUACCACUUGUGGUGGAGGAGUACCUGGACAAUGUCAAUGAGCAUGACUGGAAGAUGCUACGAAACCGUAUGAUGGACAUAGUUCAAGAUGCCACUUUCGUGUAUGCCACGCUGCAGACUGCUCACUACCACCGAGAAACCCCAAUGAUGGGAAUCUGCCUUGCUGGCCACGCUAUGACAAGGAUGAAAAGUACCUGCAGCUGGAUUUUACCACGAGAGUGGGCAUGAAGCUCAAGGAGAAGAAGAUGGCUUUUUGGAUGAGUCUGUACCAGUCUCAAAGACCUGAGAAGCAGAGGCAAUUCUAAGGGUGCCUACGCAGGAAGGAGCCAAAGAGGGGUUUGCCCCACCACCCAGGCCCUAGGGAGACUAGCCAUGGACAUACCUGGGGACAAGGGUUCUACCCACCCCAAUUUAGAACUGCAGGAGCUCCCUGCUGCCUCCCAGCCAAAGCUAGAGCUUUUGCCUGUUGUAUGGCACCUGCACCGCCCUCUCCAGCCUGACAUCCCAUGAUGCCCCACUACUUCACUGUUGACAUCCAGUUAGGCCAGGCCCUGUCAACACCACACUGUGCCCAGCUCUCCAGCCUCAGGACAACCUCUUUUUUUCCCUUCUUCAAAUCCUCCCACCCUUCAAUGUCUCCUUGUGGCUCCUUCUUAUGGGAGGUCGACCCAGACUGCCACUGUCACUGCACCCAGCUUGGCAUUUACCAUCCAUCCUGCUCAACCUUGUGCCUGUCUGUUCACGUUGGUCUGGAGGCCUAGGGCAGGUUGUGACAUGGAGCAAACUUUUGGUAGUUUGGGAUCUUUUCUCCCACCCACACUUAUCGCCCCCAGGGCCACUCCAAAGUCUAUACACAGGGGUAGUCUCUUCAAUAAAGAAGUGUUGAUUAGACCUGAAUUUCUCCACCUAUAAAA
rnacentral:sRNA from 1 species